rnacentral:rRNA from 1 species
UGGGGAAUUUUGGACAAUGGGCGAAAGCCUGAUCCAGCAAUGCCGCGUGUGUGAAGAAGGCCUUCGGGUUGUAAAGCACUUUUGUCCGGAAAGAAAUCCUCUGGGUUAAUACCUCGGGGGGAUGACGGUACCGGAAGAAUAAGCACCGGCUAACUACGUGCCAGCAGCCGCGGUAAUACGUAGGGUGCAAGCGUUAAUCGGAAUUACUGGGCGUAAAGCGUGCGCAGGCGGUUUUGUAAGGCGGAUGGGAAAUCCCCGGGCUUAACCUGGGAACUGCAUUCGUGACUGAAAGGCUAGAGUAUGGCAGAGGGGGGUAGAAUUCCACGUGUAGCAGUGAAAUGCGUAGAGAUGUGGAGGAAUACCGAUGGCGAAGGCAGCCCCCUGGGCCAAUACUGACGCUCAUGCACGAAAGCGUGGGGAGCAAACA